ACUAAGGAGCAGUUGGUGGAAAGAAUGACUGCAGAAAGAGAAGAAAUUUUGGGGAUUGUGAAGAUGGCGGAGACAAGAGCAAGAGAAAAAAUGAAAGAAAAAGAAAAAAAAAGAAAAAAAAACAAGAAAUCA